rnacentral:rRNA from 1 species
CCUACGGGAGGCUGCAGUAGGGAAUUUUCCACAAUGGGCGAAAGCCUGAUGGAGCAACGCCGCGUGGGUGAAGAAGGUCUUCGGAUCGUAAAACCCUGUUGUUAGAGAAGAAAGUGCGUGUGAGUAAUUGUUCACGUCUCGACGGUAUCUACCCAGAAAGCCCCGGCUAACUACGUGCCAGCAGCCGCGGUAAUACGUCGGUGGCAAGCGUUAUCCGGAUUUAUUGGGCGUAAAGGGAACGCAGGCGGUCUGUUAAGUCUGGGGUGAAAGCUUUCGGCUUAACCGGGGUAGUGCAUUGGAAACUGUGAGACUUGAGUGCAGAAGAGGAGAGUGGAACUCCAUGUGUAGCGGUGAAAUGCGUAGAUAUAUGGAAGAACACCAGUGGCGAAGGCGGCUCUCUGGACUGUAACUGACGCUGAGGUUCGAAAGCGUGGGUAGCAAACAGGAUUAGAUACCCCUGUAGUC